AAGUAACUUUUGGAACCCCUAUGUACCCUAGUUUGGUUAUAUGUUAUUUCCCUUAAGUUUGAAUGGUUUUUGGGUGAAAAAUGUUCAUGGAAAUUUUUUGAGUUUUUCAUGAGUGUUCUUCAUUGUUCUUGACAUUUUUGCCAAGAACAAAAAGUUUGGUGUUUUGAUUCAAAGUUUUGAAUUAUUUCAUAAAGUUUUUGUUUUAUGAUUUAUCAUAUAUUUAAAUGUGUUAGAUAUUUGUUUAGAAAGGUGUAAGAAAUAUUGGUGGGUGUGUAAGGAUUAAUUCCCUUUCACACACACCACUUGCAUGACAUUUAUGUCAUGCACCACUUGCAUGCUUUAUGUCAAAGCUUCAAAAAUCAACUCACACACCAUCACUUACUUCUCUAAAACCGGCCACUCCCUCAAUGGGAGUACUUUUGGGGCUUUUAUGCAAUUACAUAAAGUUUUGAUACUUUUGUGUAUUUGCACUUUGGCCCAAAGUUUACGUUUUUACGUUUAGGUCCAAAAAUGCUAAAGGACAAAUUGUUUUGCUCCUUUAAUGAAGUUUUUGUAUUUGUUGAAAUUUUUGGGUUCUAGUUGUAAUUACAUGAAGUAGUGGACUUUUGUGUUUUUACAAAGUGACCCCAAAGUUUAUGUUUUUGCAAUAUAGCCCAAAAGUUGAGGUUAUUGCAUUUUGGCCCAAAUUAAGUUGAGUACAAAAUUGUUUUGUCUCUUUAAAUGAGAAUUGGAUUUUCAUUUCAUUUAGCUCCAUUUAAAUCAAUUUUAUGGAUACAAAAAACAAAUGAAAAUGUUGCAUUCAAUUUAAUUAGUUAAAGCGUUAAUUAAUUAAAGGGUGAUUA
rnacentral:lncRNA from 1 species